CCCCUCUCAGGAUCGCACCUGAGAGUUUCCAGUACUCCACCAGUCUCCGCUAUGGGAGGGAGAGUCAAGCAGAGGCAUAUCCAUUUCAUUCCUAGCUUGGCCAGUGGCUAGUUAGUGGGAGGCAAUCUGCUACAAUG
rfam:Ornithorhynchus anatinus chromosome 4, whole genome shotgun sequence.